UCCAAGAAGUUCUUUAACUUAAUAUGUGUAAAUGGAUUUGAGCAUCACACUUUCAGUUUUUAUUUGCGCACUGAAGCCUUAAUAACAUACCUCUGUUGUUGAGUUUUAUUCUUUUUGAUAUUUUGAACAAACAUGCUGAAGUCUUUUGGGAUGUGAAUUUUGUGUUUAAAAUUAAAGGACAUAAUUUUUGGUAGCAUAAUUAGCAGUGUUUGAAUUUCUUUAUUUCAGGAUGGAAGACUAACAUUCCAACCAGGAAGUCAGGUAGUAAAACUUCCCUUCAUUAACUUCAUGAGAGCACGUGGCACCACCUUCCUAAAUGCCUACACUAACUCUCCCAUCUGCUGUCCAUCACGUGCAGCAAUGUGGAGUGGCCUUUUCACUCACUUAACAGAAUCUUGGAAUAAUUUUAA
rnacentral:lncRNA from 1 species